GGCUGGUCUGAAUACUGUGGUAUUUACAAUUAAUUGAUCACAAUCAGUGACAGAUUUCUUUGUUCCUUUUCUAUUCCCGCUGCUUCACUAGACUAGCCUAGC
ensembl:misc_RNA Y_RNA Y RNA